rnacentral:rRNA from 1 species
CGGGACGGGUGAGUAACGCGUGGGGAACCUGCCCUGUACAGGGGGAUAACACUUAGAAAUAGGUGCUAAUACCGCAUAAGCGCACAGUAUCGCAUGAUACAGUGUGAAAAACUCCGGUGGUACAGGAUGGACCCGCGUCUGAUUAGCUGGUUGGCGGGGUAACGGCCCACCAAGGCGACGAUCAGUAGCCGGACUGAGAGGUUGGCCGGCCACAUUGGGACUGAGAUACGGCCCAGACUCCUACGGAAGGCAGCAG